rnacentral:rRNA from 1 species
UGCCAGACUCCUACGGGAGGCAGCAGUGGGGGAUAUUGCACAAUGGGGGGAACCCUGAUGCAGCGACGCCGCGUGGGUGAAGGAGCGUUUCGGCGCGUAAAGCCCUAUCGGCAGGGAAGAAGGAGGACGGUACCUGACUAAGAAGCCCCGGCUAACUACGUGCCAGCAGCCGCGGUAAUACGUAGGGGGCAAGCGUUAUCCGGAUUUACUGGGUGUAAAGGGGGCGCAGACGGCAGCGCAAGCCAGGAGUGAAAGCCCGGGGCCCAGCCCCGGGACUGCUCUUGGAACUGCGCGGCUGGAGUGCAGGAGGGGCAGGCGGAAUUCCUGGUGUAGCGGUGAAAUGCGUAGAUAUUAGGAGGAACACCAGUGGCGAAGGCGGCUUACUGGACUGUAACUGACGUUGAGGCUCGAAAGCGUGGGGAGCAAGCAGGAUUAGAUACCCGGGUAU